GCAAUGGCAAGCUCUCAAGAAUAGGCAAUAACAUCAUUCAUUUUCUUACAAAGAAAUUCCAGUUUUCUUGUGGUGAAAAGUCUACUGACUGUAACAGCAGAAGCUGAAACUCCAGUCGGUGCUGUUUCCAUAAGGAGAAUUCAUAGGUAAUGAAUGCUCUUUCCUUGAAUCUAAUCAUAAAUGAUUUCAUCUCUUAUAUGUUCUACAGGGUUCCUUCAGAUAUUCCAUUAUAUGAUAUCCUAAAUGUAUUCCAAAAGGGAAACAAUCAUAUGGUCGUUGUAGUCAAGGUCAAGGAGAAGACUAAGAACUCUGCGCUUUCCAGUAAUGGAGAGAAACAUGGGGAAAAGUCUUUUACCUCUGGGAUAUCUCCACUUGUCACUCCCUUGCUCACAAAACAUUGACAAUGAUUUGGGAAGUAAUGAUUUUGAUAUAUUUUUUACUUCUCUAUUAAUAAGAACUCAGAGUACAAGAGAGUGAUAAAAAGUCUAAAUUAGGGAACCUGGGGAUCAAGAAGCGCACCCGGACAUCUCAACUAGGUUGAUACCCCUUAAACGCCAAUCACUAUUUCCCAAGCAUACAAAAACAGAACUUUCUAAAAUUAAUUAGAGGCCAGAAGAUAAUAAAAAACCAUAAGAAAAUCUAACACCUGAGAAUGCCAAAAACAUACAAACAUAAAAGUUCCAAGGCUAAAAAUGAAGCAAUCCACCAAGACUUCAAAACACAGAAAGAGGCCUGCUGUAAGAAUCCUUCAAACUGAAUAUUCUGCAAACUGAAACCUCAACUGCAAUGCUGGUUGAGAGAGAAAAACAGUCCAGUUGGGGCAAAUGGCUUGAAUGGAAUAAUCUUCAAACUCCUUAUUUAAGGAGCACCAAACUGCUGCAUUAUGUUCUACGGAGAAUGUGACUGCAACAACUAGAGUGUGCAAUUUGUUUGAAGAUAUUGAAGAUGGGGAAAUUAUUAGGAUUAUCACUUUAGAGGAUAUUUUUGUGGAACUUCUGCAAGUGAUCACAACUUCAGAGGAGGAAAAAAUUGUAGAUGAGGCAGGCGUAUAUGUGGAUGUCUAUAAACGUGUAGGAUAUGUGUGGUUGCGGCUGCAGCUGUGGCACUAGCUCCAUCAGCUUGUAGGCUGCCACUUGACAGGCCAAAAGUCCACCGGAGUUCAAAGUAGGAAAGUCAAGAUCCAGGAGAGCUGCGGAAGAUUAUAGAUUCAAUGAUAUUUAAGGAUAAGGAGUCGCACUGGUACUUCAACCGAGUGAUAAAAGAUUAACGAAUCAACCAAGUUUCCAAAGGAAUUCUAUUCCGUGCUUCACCAAGCUUAAACUCUCCAUCUUCUGUAGUUUUGACCAAAUUUUUACUUUUAGCUUUUAUCACAAUUACUUCAAAAAAAUAAUUACGAAGUAGUAUGAAUUUUCUCGUUCUUGUACACAGUAUAGAGGAUAACAGUAGCUGGAAAAGGAAGACCACCAAAUAUUCUUUUAUCUGGCUAAUUAGAAACAACUUCAAAAUAUCAUGGACGCAUGGAGGAGUGGCAAUACUGGAAUUACUGAAUUUUAUCACUCUAAAGAAAACAAUGUUACAUUAUGGUUGAAAAUCAUCGAUAAGGUCUUUUCUUUUCAUUAUAAUCUAAAAAAUUGUUAAUAUUUGCAUCCAUGCUAUUUGAUUCA